GGCUGGGGCUAGCUGGAUCACAGUGGGAAAAACCAUCAUAAUCCUUGGUGCUGGGAAUUUGCCCACAUGAUCCCCCUCCCUCCCACCCAUCUGUCCCAAUGAGUCAGAUAACCUGGAGCCAUGGCCCCCCUUCUGCUGUUGGAGAAAUCCAUUUUCAAACCAGCUACUAAGCAGCUCUCCUAGGAUUUUGUCAAGAUCAGGAGUCCGGGAGGCCCAGGGAUGGUGGGCUCCAGGAAGAGAUCUUCGAUCUGGCACCUUCCUUUUAUAAAAGAAGAGAAUCUUGCCUAGAAAGUGACUUCCUGAAGGUCACAAAGCAACUUAGUAAUUUAUAUUAGCCUGAAGAAGAGAGGGAGAGUGGGAGAUGCUCUGGAGAAAGACAGCUGCAGUGUAUUAAAAAAAUAAAAAGAGUGCGGAUCUUGGA